rnacentral:misc_RNA from 1 species
GUAGGUGAACCUGCGGAAGGAUCAUUAGUGAAUUGCUUUUGGGAGUCCCUCUUUACCGGAGAAGGCCCAUCUCUUCAUUACACCCAUACACUUGUGCAUUUGUCCCCCUUUAAUUACCUUUUAACCCUUUAUGCAUUUGAAACGGUUGUUGUUGCAUAUCAAAAUGAUAAACGAAAGAAAAACUUUCAGCAAUGGAUCUCUUGGCUCUC